GUUCUUCCUUCAGGCGUUAUGGUGGCUUGAUGUGCUUAUUGAAAUGGUGUGGGGUAUGGAAGGCGUUGAUGUGUGGUGUGGGGGCCGUGUCCACGCUUGCCCGGUCCCCGGCUGCUCGAGUCUUGCUUGCCUGGUUCCCGCUUGCCCGGGUCCCAUUUGCCUGGUUUCCGUUUGCUCGAUUCCCGGUUUCCCGGGCCCGUUUGCCCGAUUCCCACUUGCUCGAGUGCUAUUUGCCCCCACUUGCUCGAGUGCUAUUUGCCUGAUUCCCAAUUGCUCGAGUCUCGUUUGCCCGAGCCUGCUUA
rnacentral:lncRNA from 1 species